CUAUAUCAUUUUGAAACACCAAUUCUCAUCUGGUCAUUGAAGUUAAGGAAUGUUGAGCUUGGUCAGCACUCAGAUGGGUGACCACUAGAGAAAACUAGGUGCUGUAAG